rnacentral:rRNA from 1 species
GACGAACGCUGGCGGCGUGCUUAACACAUGCAAGUCGAACGAAGAGCGAUGGAAGCUUGCUUCUAUCAAUCUUAGUGGCGAACGGGUGAGUAACGCGUAAUCAACCUGCCCUUCAGAGGGGGACAACAGUUGGAAACGACUGCUAAUACCGCAUACGAUCUAAUCUCGGCAUCGAGGAAAGAUGAAAGGUGGCCUCUAUUUAUAAGCUAUCACUGAAGGAGGGGAUUGCGUCUGAUUAGCUAGUUGGAGGGGUAACGGCCCACCAAGGCGAUGAUCAGUAGCCGGUCUGAGAGGAUGAACGGCCACAUUGGGACUGAGACACGGCCCAGACUCCUACGGGAGGCAGCAGUGGGGAAUCUUCCGCAAUGGACGAAAGUCUGACGGAGCAACGCCGCGUGAGUGAUGACGGCCUUCGGGUUGUAAAGCUCUGUUAAUCGGGACGAAAGGCCUUCUUGCGAACAGUUAGAAGGAUUGACGGUACCGGAAUAGCAAGCCACGGCUAACUACGUG